rnacentral:lncRNA from 1 species
AAGAGCGGCUGGUGGCACCAGCAAGGCUGCCUUAGUUGUAACUCCCGGGAGACCACAGGGACAGGUUUAUUUUUGUUUUUAAGUUUUUAUUUUGGAAGCGAGGCCUUGCCAAGUUAUGAGAUCUCGGACACUCCAGUGUCACUGUGUCCCGUGCUCGGGAGGCCGAGCAUUUCCGGGUCGCUGGUCGACCUUGGCUGGGGUGGUGCAGCCAGUUCACCGCGCGCGUGUCGGUGCAGACCCGCCCCGAGAGCACCCGGCGGAAGGCAGGGAGGCCCGGGAAUCCCAGAGGGGUGGGAGCGGAGCUGAGGCGUCCGCCGGGAGCUUGGUUCCCUACCGCGGGAAUCUGCGCGACUGCUUUUGCUCUUCAAGCCCAGGGCCGAGAUGCUGGGAAACGUCGCUCUUCGCUUCUACACUGGGAGGCCUUGCUGUUCCGAUUCGUGUCGCCCUGAGAUGCUGGGCCUUGUAGGCCACUUCUCAAAUCAGCGACUUUGAUUUGCAGCCUUCACUCACAGCCUCAGGUCAGGGGUUUCGGGACAGCGCUGCGCAAUCCGGACACUUCAGCACUGCAGCGUGUGCACCGGAAGCCAGUUUGCCAGGACAGCAUGAUGUUAACCCAUGACACUCACCCCUUCUUUUCUUUGAGCUUGACUGAUUGCUUCAUUUUAAAUUUCAUCUAAGCCCCACGCGCUUUGGCAAUCCUGGGUAUUCUGGUGCUGAAAAUACCCAGGUGCUCCCUUGCCACAUUUUCUGGUCAGGGCACCCCUGGUGGUUUUUAACCAAAGGGUAUUUGUGAGCUGAUAGAAACUCUGUCCCUGAAGCUCAGAGUUUAUAUUUUUAAAGAAAGGCAAAUGUUUUAUUAUCACAGUGUU